rnacentral:rRNA from 1 species
GUGGGGAAUAUUGGACAAUGGGCGAAAGCCUGAUCCAGCCAUGCCGCGUGUGUGAAGAAGGCCUUUUGGUUGUAAAGCACUUUAAGCGAGGAGGAGGCUACCGAGAUUAAUACUCUUGGAUAGUGGACGUUACUCGCAGAAUAAGCACCGGCUAACUCUGUGCCAGCAGCCGCGGUAAUACAGAGGGUGCAAGCGUUAAUCGGAAUUACUGGGCGUAAAGCGCGCGUAGGUGGUUUUGUAAGUUGGAGGUGAAAUCCCCGGGCUCAACCUGGGAACUGCCUCCAAAACUGCAUGACUAGAGUACGGUAGAGGGUAGUGGAAUUUCCUGUGUAGCGGUGAAAUGCGUAGAUAUAGGAAGGAACACCAGUGGCGAAGGCGACUACCUGGACUGAUACUGACACUGAGGUGCGAAAGCGUGGGGAGCAAACAGGAUUAGAUACCCGGGUAGUCC